GGGAUUGUGGCUCAGUGGUAGAGCAUAUGCUUUGCAUACAGAAAAUCCUAGGAUCAAUUACCAACAUUUCCA
rnacentral:tRNA from 1 species